rnacentral:rRNA from 1 species
CCUACGGGCGGCAGCAGUGGGGAAUAUUGGACAAUGGGGGCAACCCUGAUCCAGCCAUGCCGCGUGUGUGAAGAAGGCCCUCGGGUUGUAAAGCACUUUCAGUGAGGAAGAACGCCUGGUGGUUAAUACCCAUCAGGAAAGACAUCACUCACAGAAGAAGCACCGGCUAACUCCGUGCCAGCAGCCGCGGUAAUACGGAGGGUGCGAGCGUUAAUCGGAAUUACUGGGCGUAAAGCGCGCGUAGGUGGCUUGAUAAGCCGGUUGUGAAAGCCCGGGCUCAACCUGGGAACGGCAUCCGGAACUGUCAAGCUAGAGUGCAGGAGAGGAAGGUAGAAUUCCCGGUGUAGCGGUGAAAUGCGUAGAGAUCGGGAGGAAUACCAGUGGCGAAGGCGGCCUUCUGGACUGACACUGACACUGAGGUGCGAAAGCGUGGGUAGCAAACAGGAUUAGAUACCCUGGUAGUC